rnacentral:rRNA from 1 species
AAGGGUUUGAUCCUGGCUCAGAUUGAACGCUGGCGGCAGGCCUAACACAUGCAAGUCGAGCGGAUGACGGGAGCUUGCUCCUUGAUUCAGCGGCGGACGGGUGAGUAAUGCCUAGGAAUCUGCCUGGUAGUGGGGGACAACGUUUCGAAAGGAACGCUAAUACCGCAUACGUCCUACGGGAGAAAGCAGGGGACCUUCGGGCCUUGCGCUAUCAGAUGAGCCUAGGUCGGAUUAGCUAGUUGGUGGGGUAAUGGCUCACCAAGGCGACGAUCCGUAACUGGUCUGAGAGGAUGAUCAGUCACACUGGAACUGAGACACGGUCCAGACUCCUACGGGAGGCAGCAGUGGGGAAUAUUGGACAAUGGGCGAAAGCCUGAUCCAGCCAUGCC